UGGGGUGUGGCUCAGCGGUAGAGCACUCACCUAGCAUGUAUGAGGCCCUGGGUUCGAUCCUCAGCACCUCAU
rnacentral:tRNA from 1 species